GUGGGGAAUAUUGGACAAUGGGCGCAAGCCUGAUCCAGCCAUGCCGCGUGAGUGAUGAAGGCCUUAGGGUUGUAAAGCUCUUUCACCGAUGAAGAUAAUGACGGUAGUCGGAGAAGAAGCCCCGGCUAACUUCGUGCCAGCAGCCGCGGUAAUACGAAGGGGGCUAGCGUUGUUCGGAUUUACUGGGCGUAAAGCGCACGUAGGCGGUUUGUUAAGUCAGGGGUGAAAUCCCGGAGCUCAACUCCGGAACUGCCUUUGAUACUGGCUAGCUAGAGUCCGGAAGAGGUAAGUGGAACUCCUAGUGUAGAGGUGGAAUUCGUAGAUAUUAGGAAGAACACCAGUGGCGAAGGCGGCUUACUGGUCCGGAACUGACGCUGAGGUGCGAAAGCGUGGGGAGCAAACAGGAUUAGAUACCCGAGUAGUCC
rnacentral:rRNA from 1 species